GUGGCAGCCGCCGCGGUAAAACCAGCACCUCAAGUGGUCAGGAUGAUUAUUGGGCCUAAAGCAUCCGUAGCCGGCUCUGUUAGUUUUCGGUUAAAUCUACAUGCUCAACAUAUAGGCUGCCGGGAAUACUACAAAGCUAGGAAGUGGGAGAGGUAGACGGUACUCCGUAGGAAGGGGUAAAAUCCUUUGAUCUAUGGAUGACCACCAGUGGCGAAGGCGGUCUACCAGAACAUGUUCGACGGUGAGGGAUGAAAGCUGGGGGAGCAAACCGGAUUAGAUACCCGGGUAGUCCCAGCUGUAAACUAUGCAAACUCAGUGAUGCAUUGGCUUGUGGCCAGUGCAGUGCCGCAGAGAAGUCGUUAAGUUUGCCGCCUGGGAAGUACGUACGCAAGUAUGAAACUUAAAGGAAUUGGCGGGGGAGCACCACAAGGGGUGAAGCCUGCGGUUCAAUUGGAGUCAACGCCAGAAAUCUUACCCGGAGAGACAGCAGGAUGAAGGUCAAGCUGAAGACUUUACCAGACAAGCUGAGAAGUGGUGCAUGGCCGUCGCCAGCUCGUGCCGUGGGGUGUCCUGUUAAGUCAGGUAACGAGCGAGAUCCUUGCCUCUAGUUGCCACCAUUACUCUCAGGAGUUGUGGGGCGAAUUAGCGGGACUGCCGUAGUUAAUACGGAGGAAGGAGAGGGCCACGGCAGGUCAGUAUGCCCUGAAACUCUGGGGCCACACGCGGGCUGCAAUGGUAGUGACAAUGUGUUCCGAAUCCGAGAGGAGGAGGCAAUCCAAAAACGCUACCACAGUUAUGACUGAGGGCUGCAACUCGCCCUCACGAAUAUGGAAUCCCUAGUAACUGCGUGUCAUUACCGCGCGGUGAAUACGUCCCUGCUCCUUGCACACACCGCCCGUC
rnacentral:rRNA from 1 species